rnacentral:rRNA from 1 species
AUGUUUCACGCCCGCAAUUUUCCCAUCAUCAACGCCAGAGCCCUUGAUGUGCCUGUGCUUAUCCCCGCACUCAAGGCGGCCGUCGUGACCAUGCGCUCGUGGGCAUUAUUGUGUCCCUGCGCUCGGGUGUGCGUCCCCGCUUGGUGGCGCGAGCCGGCGUCGUGCCGCCAUAGUGCCGACGUCGUCCCUUCGUUCGCUGUCGAUUUGGACGUCGUUGUCCGCCCUCCGCCUUCAUGCCCGACCUCCUACGGGGAGAGGAGCUCCCGGAUGAUGCCCACAUCUUCACGCUCCGCCCUCGCUAUCUGGUCGUCCCCUGCAUGUAGCCGUCAUGGCCGCCGUCGCCGCACCUCCUCUCGAGCUCCUGCGGGAAGAGGAGCUCCCGAACAGUGCCCACAUACACACGCCUCGCCCCCGCUAUCUGGUCGCCUCCCCCUUGCAAGCAGCCAUCGUGGCCGCCGCCGGCGAGCUUCCACCAUCACCGAAACUACUCUAUUUCCUUCCUCCAUGUGCAGUGAGAGCAAGCGAGUGGAUAAGGUCGCUCCAGUGGGGAUGAGAUGA